AUACCCUUAUCCAUUCCCCUUCCCUUCUAGAAGGAAACAAUUUUUUUUAAUAAUUUCAUUAAUAUCCGUUAAAUUUCAAAGAACAAAAUUAUUUCAUUUUUCAUUUGAGAUCAGAAAUUCUCCUUCUCUACUUUUCUCUCAUCCACUUUCACCCAUCCCCACUACCACCAUCAGCAUCAUUUUUCCGCCGUCGCAACCACUACCAACAUCACAACAUCUCCGACACCACCAUCACCAUCUCCACCGCCACCACUGUCGAUAACAUUUCACAUCUUUAGGAAUGAAAGAGUGAAACAGAUCUUCAUCAGAAAUCGUUUUCAGAUUCAAAAACCAUCAACAGUGUAGCAUCAUAAUCAUCAUCUUCUUGGUUUGUCGCUGAUUUUAGAUAUCGAAUUCAGUUUCAGUAGAUCGAGAGAUCUGAUUUUAAGUUACAUUUUCUGGUAAUUUCGUAUUCGAGAUUGGUUGUGUUAAGUAUAGUCCCACAUCGCCUAAAUCCCGAGAUUUAUAAAGUAUAUAAGCCUUGGGCAACCUUGUAAGCCGGUUUUUGAGGUUAGUUAGGCCAUGGAAUUUAACAUGCUUAGCAGAAGAAUUCGAAGGAUUCAAAAGCAAAGACUGGUGAUAACUAUCUAAAGUCACUGCUGGUGCUGUUGUAGAAGGAGAAAGGUGUUGCUGUAGCUAGACCUGGUGUCGAAACAGGUGGUGGUCACAUGGAAAGGAAACUAGUAUAUUUUUUAGAGAUGAUGGGGAUCAAAAUAUAGUUACGGGACUGUUUAUAGAUUAUUUCAGACGGGGUCGAGGAGCAAACAGAACAGAUCAUGAAAGCUCCGAGUUACCUCAUUGUAGAAAUGAUCUCUUGCAUCUAAAGUGCAGGCUAAAAUGGUUGUUCAAGAGAAACGUUUACUGUUGAAUGCUUUUUCAAAGGAAAAUGAUGUAAUUGGAAGUUCGCAAAAAGAGGAGGUGUUGUAGACUUACACUUCUCAAUCGUUUAAUGCCUGAAUGCCCCAUUGGCUCAUCAUGCACCAAUAUUUCGAAGGAAGCCAAGGGCUUCAAACUUCUACAGGCUUAUAUUCCUAUGAAGUUUUCCAUUUUCCAGUUUAUGCGAAUUUGUUUUACUUUUCUGAACUUGUUUUAUGUUUUGUGAACUUGUUUUGCAAGUGUUUAUUUUGUGAACUUCUUUUUUGUUCAACUUGCAAAUGUUCUAAAA